rnacentral:lncRNA from 1 species
AUGGAGGCUCCGGACGGAACCGUGUGUCCGUCCGCACUGCAGCUGCCGUCGGACCGCUGCGGGCAGCUGCUCCACACCUGGCUGGGAUGUCCCGCCUCCUCCAGGAGAACUCCUCCUCCAGGAGAACGCCUCCUCCAGGAGAACUCCUCCUCCAGGAGAACGCCUCCUCCAGGAGAAGAACUCCUCCUCCAGGAGAAGAACGCCUCCUCCAGGAGAAGAACGCCUCCUCCAGGAGAAGAACGCCUCCUCCAGGAGAACGCCUCCUCCAGGAGAAGAACGCCUCCUCCAGGAGAACGCCUCCUCCAGGAGAAGAAUGCCUCCAGGAGAAGAACUCCUCCAGGAGAACGCCUCCUCCAGGAGAACUCCUCCUCCAGGAGAAGAACGCCUCCUCCAAGAGAAGAACUCCUCCUCCAGGAGAAGAACGCCUCCUCCAGGAGAAGAACGCCUCCUCCAGGAGAACUCCUCCUCCAGGAGAAGAACGCCUCCUCCAGGAGAAGAACGCCUCCUCCAGGAGAACGCCUCCUCCAGGAGAAGAACGCCUCCUCCAGGAGAAGAACGCCUCCUCCAGGAGAAGAACGCCUCCUCCAGGAGAACGCCUCCUCCAGGAGAAGAACGCCUCCUCCAGGAGAACGCCUCCUCCAGGAGAAGAAUGCCUCCAGGAGAAGAACUCCUCCAGGAGAACGCCUCCUCCAGGAGAACUCCUCCUCCAGGAGAAGAACGCCUCCUCCAAGAGAACUCCUCCUCCAGGAGAAGAACGCCUCCUCCAGGAGAACGCCUCCUCCAGGAGAAGAACGCCUCCUCCAGGAGAACGCCUCCUCCAGGAGAAGAACGCCUCCAGGAGAACGCCUCCUCCAGGAGAACGCCUCCUCCAGGAGAACGCCGCCUCCAGGAGAAGAACGCCUCCUCCAGGAGAACGCCGCCUCCAGGAGAAGAACUCCUCCAGGAGAACGCCUCCUCCAGGAGAACGCCGCCUCCAGGAGAAGAACUCCUCCAGGAGAACGCCUCCUCCAGGAGAACAACGCCUCCUCCAGGAGAACAACACCUCCAGAAGAAGAACGCCUCCUCCAGGAGAAGAACGCCUCCUCCAGGAGAACACCUCCUCCGGGAGAACGCCACCACAGAUUUGGGGCCCACAAACAAACAGGAAGUGCUUCCAGUGUAGACAGGAAGUGCCACCUCUGCCGCUCUGUUGUUUUUUUAGGUUUUGAUUUUUGUGAGUUUCCAAUGAGAAAAUCAAAACCUAAAGAAAAUCCGGCGUGGCGGCCGUCGUCUGGCCCGGCGGGUCCCCCCGGGGAUCCCGAACCCGCAGCUUCCUCACUGACCAGGUCGUAG